rnacentral:tRNA from 1 species
GUUUAAUUAGUAUAAAUAAGUACAUUUAAUUUCCAAUUAAAAAGUUUUUGAAAAAAUUAAACA